ensembl:snRNA U6 U6 spliceosomal RNA
ACUAACUUUUAGCAUACGCUAACAUUGGAACAAUACAGAGAAAAUUAACAUGAGUUCUGUGCAGUGACUAUGCUCAAACUUAUGAAGUAUUUCAUACUGUU